UCUUUCACAUGCUGUAGCAAUCAGAGAGAAGACACAAAUGUUCCAAAGUGAUGCUUGCGGAAUACUGCAAAACUACUGGGACAAAACAUGUAUAAAUAUAGAAGGAGAAAAUUUGGUCCUACUUAGACCUGUUUAAAGGGGAAUCUAUCCAUAUGGCAGUGAUCUAUCAAUCAAAUUAACAGUAAAAGAAAUCUAGAAGACAACAAAAUACAACAAUCACAAUACUACUCAAGUCGAAAUAGCCAUCCAUCCUUUUGAGGUCCUUUCAGUUUUGGAUAAAAUGAUUUUUGUCAGACCUGCACAUGCUGUUAGAGUUUUCUAAUUUCUUACCUCAAUUUGGAUUCUCCAAGUCUGAUCCAUAUAUACACACUACCUUUGGAAGCCACAAGCUGAACUAGAGCCAUUCAAUUCUGUUUUGACCGCCUUUGGAAGGCUGGUAAUUUCAUUUUACAAUGUUUUUUCUAAUUCGGGUACUCCUAGUCAUGAUAAGAGCCGUCUCACAAACUUGUAGAUCUGUGUUUUGAGUUGCUUUUCCUUCUUAUUCACUUACCCCUUGGGUAUUUGGAAUCAUGUUUGCUAUUAUAACCAAGGUCCUGCUUAGGAUGGUGUAUCAGGGGUUAAUUAUGCUGAUACUUUUGGUCUGUGUUUGGCCCCGCCACCUGUGAAAGUUUUACUCUUUCCCUGCCAAGUUAUGGGAAAACAAGCACUGAUAAACGGGAAACUUGUCCUUGAAGAGAGCUUCUUGUGUAAACUGUUUUAAUUGGUGUUCUGUGAUUGGCUAAUUGUCCUCCAAGGUUGCUUGAAGGAGAAUUUGAGGAGGAGGAGAAUGAAGUAGCGCCCCCAGACACAAUUAAGAAAGACUCCCAAAGCAUACUGCACGUGCGUUAGGGGAUUUCCAAAGUUCUCACGCAUGCGCAGAAGAGAUGCACUUAGAUAACCGGGAGGUGGGACUGAGGACCUCGGGCUGGGCGGUGCUGGCCACACCUGGGAGGUUGUGGUCACUCAGUUAAUUGUAUAAAAGUAGAUAGUGCUUUCUUGGAGGGGAGCUAGCUUUACUUCAAGGACAACGUUGUCUUUUGGCGGGGACGCCUGCCAGUUUCUGAACUUACUGACUCUCCAAGGAUGCAGCUUCUGCUAUGGCCUUGUUUACUUCUCCUCUGACCUGGAUCUCAUCUCAGGAAUUCUUGUCACAGUCCAAAAGCUUUCUGUGAUGAUGCAUCAGAUGAUCGAGGACCGCAAUGGAUACCUUCGCAUUAUGUGCGACCUUGUCUUGCAUCAUCUUCAUAACAACAGCCAUGCCUCCUGACUGGACCACCUUUGAUCAGCAGAACGUCUGGGUGACACUCGCCAAUGCGACUGGGACUGAAACAUUGUGUUUGUCUGUAGCUACCCCAACUGAUCCAUUUUGUACCUGCUUAGUAGGCCUUCCUUUCAAUCACAACCAAUGGAUUACCUUUCUACACAAAUAUUGGCCACAGUGCUCUAAUUGUCACAAGGCAGUAUCAUUACAAUGUGCUAAUAAUCGAAAUCUUAAAAAUAAAUUUCCUCAAAUUCCAGUUGAACCUCAAGAAAUUAAUGUCAUGGUCAGUCUGACUGCACCUUUCUGUUUUCAAUUCAAUCCCUCAGAUUCAAAUUCAAAUCAUCAUUUGGCAAUUGAUGUAUCUCCAUCUGGAACAUAUCAAAAUGCUAGGUUUUGGUGUAAAUCACCCAAUUCUACAGCAAUCAGAUUAGGGGCAACGCCUCUUGGCUUGCCCAAUGGUAUUUUCUUAAUUUAUGGGCAGCGAGUGUG